AGAGAGAUAGCUGGGUCAAAUGUUGGUUCCAUUUCCAAUUUUCCAAGAAAUCUCCAUACUGUUUUCCAUAUUGGCUGCACCAAUUUGCAGUCCCACUAGCAGU
rnacentral:pre_miRNA from 1 species